rnacentral:other from 1 species
UUUACCCUGGAGUGUGCGUCAGCGGAGUAAGUCCCUGAGCCGAUAAGCAAUACCAAAGGGUUAGAAUCUGGUAGCUAUUGAGCAAGCUCGGCCCGAACCGAGAAGCCUACGGUUAUCAAUCCUGAUCCGCCUUGAACCAGCUGGUUCAAGGGUCUAACAUCUGCGACGGCACUCUGGGGUAUCU